rnacentral:rRNA from 1 species
GACAGAGGGUGCAAACGUUGUUCGGAAUUACUGGGCGUAAAGCGCGUGUAGGCGGCUAAGUAAGUCGGGCGUGAAAUCCCACGGCUCAACCGUGGAAGUGCACUCGAAACUGCAUAGCUAGAGUCCUGGAGAGGAAGGUGGAAUGCUUGGUGUAGAGGUGAAAUUCGUAGAUAUCAAGCGGAACACCGGUGGCGAAGGCGGCCUUCUGGACAGUGACGUGACGCUGAGACGCGAAAGCGUGGGGAGCA